rnacentral:lncRNA from 13 species
CAGGAAGCAUUUGUCAAAUAUGAAAUGGUAUUUGGUUUUCUGUGUUUGGUUUUAUUUGGGCUGUAUUUGUACAAAUAUGUUAUUGGCAUGUGUUCCAAAAUUAUGGGAAACUCCUGUAAUUCUGAUAUAACCUAGUGUACAUUAUCAGUAAUAAUCAUAAUUGUUAUGUUAAAAUCAUUGGGUGCAGAAGAGGUAACAAAUAUCCUUGUCAGUUGUAUCUAUUAAAUAUGACUGCCUUAAAACAUUUUUUUCAUCCAUGGUCCAUUUUCUUGUUUUGGUCCUCAUUAGAAGGGGGUUUAAUAAUCAGCUUUAAAACUCAAACAGGUGCUCUUCAAUGCAGGUUUCUGAUAACUUUGGAGAUUGUGACAUCAGAAUAGAGGAAUAACUUUCAGGACCCCUGAAGAGUAAAAUAUUCAUGAUUAUCAAGCAGAACAGGCAUGAACUGCAUGGACUGAACAAAUCUUUUUGACUUUUUGCUUAAAAUGUUUGCUGAUCCUUCGUUUUGUUUUUCAGAGUCUUAAAACUUUUCUUUCAAGCUAAUGACAGCCUUUAACAGUUUAGUAUACUCCUAUGAACAAAAUAUGGAGCAUAUUUGUUUCUUUCUACUGAGUUCUCCAGAAUUUGGAAACUAUCUAAACCAGCUGGGGAAUGGAGCCAGGGAUGAGGACAGAAUGCUCCCAAGGAAAUCUGGAUGAAAUGAAGCAAAGAAAGCCUUCUUCCAAUUUAGAGGAAUCUUCCUUAUCAGAGUGUCAUCAUGAAAGAAGAUACCUCAUUACUUAAGUUAUUUCAAAUUACACCAAAAUUCUGACUCAAAAAUCUCCAAUGUGGGCAACUAGAAGAUCGCCUUAAAGACCCCUCUCGAGAAUUCUCACCAGGUUCCUCAGGCCAGCUUCGGAGGUUCUCUCUGAACUGGUACCACUUUGCCUGUGCAACCUUCAAAAGCACAAACUCUGCAGUAAGAUCUACGGUCCGUGUUCUUCACCAUUGUGCCACCUACAAGCUGGGUAAUGUCGGCAAGUUAUGUAACUACACAAUACCUCAACUUUCUGAAACGUAAACUAAAAAUAAGGCCUUCUACUGUAAUUUGGUUUCAGAUUCCACAAAAUCAUAUUCUGAAAAUAACCUACCUGACACAUUAUAAUAA